AGGAGAAGAUAGCUAAGGGAUAAAAUGAGAAAUCAGAUUUUGAGUCUCAGUUUAGCACGUUCCUUUAUGUGGUCAGAAAGCUGAACUCUGAGUUCCAGCAUAUUACACAGUGGUUCUUAAAUGGGCUUGAUUAGAGGUAAGCAGCUGUUGACUCAUGUUUCUCCUUAGCCACUGGUUCCUUGCUGUCCUAAUCUGAGACAAAUUGUAAUGGGAGGCUGGAGUGGCAGGUAGUAGAUAAGGACAUUGCCUUUUCUCCAACUCUUUGAGAACAGUUAAGUAAAGCCCAUGCCUAAUUUCAGGAACGUUCUUAGCUUUAUCAUAUUCAAAAAUAGGCUUAAGUUUAACUGUAGGGUUGAUUGACAUUUUAGAUAUUUAUGCUUGUAGUCUUAUAUUUCUUACAAAUCACAGUAUUAAGUUGGGUUAAUUUUCACAGGAUAGAAAGUCAGGGAAAGUUAAGGUGGUAUGAGAAGCCCUGUCCACCCCAGAAGAUAGGAUGUCUUUCUUGUUGAACAAGAGCCAAGAAACUUUUAACAAUUUAUAAUGUCAAAUUGCCAACAGAUAGUGUUUUCCUAGAGACAUCUCAAUCAAGAAUGUUAAAAACAAUAAAUGAACUUCGUUUACUUGGGGCCUUGGGUUUUUACCAUACCAGUUCUCAUCCCUAAAUCUGAGUGAUGAUUUCAUAAAUCAAAAGAGAAUAGGAAAAAUGUAAACUAGUUCAUAUUUUUUUUCUUAAUUUUAAGUCUUACCUAACCUUUAAAAUUUACAAGCUUUAUCCUUUGAAGUAUGUAAGAAUGUAACUUAGAAAGCCACGGGGUCUUUAUACAUACAUACACACACACACACACACACACACACACACACAUAUACACACACAUAGAGACAGACAGACACACUCUUUCUCUCUCUGGAGAUGCCUGCAUCAUGUUGUGUGAUUGCAUAUUGUCCUUUUCCUGUAUUUAUGGCUCUCUAACCAAUUAUUUAGUAAACUCACUACCUUUGCUUAUCUCUGGCUCAUCUUGAAAUGUCUUUUGAGUAUUUUCUGUAACUUCAUAGCCUAGGAUCAGCCUUUAUCUGAAUGGAAUGCAAGCUUUUAAAGCUUCUAGUGGCCAUGAUGUGCUAUGGUAAUUUGUUGCUGGCAAUUUUACCAAUACUUGAUAAGACAUUCCUUUGUAAUCAACCUAUCCUCUUUAUUGACUGUUUCCUCUUGCUCAUAGGUUAUAUUUUCAUUUGGGUGCCUAACAUGAGUGAGGCCCUAGGUUCAAUCUAUAGCAUGCAUGUACAUGCAUAUAUGCAUGCAUAUAUAGAUAUGUUUGUGUGUGUGUAUAUAUAUAUACACACACACACACACACACACGCAUAUGUAUGUGUGUUAGACAUUGUUAACUUAAGAUUUGUUUGCUCUUUCUGAUUCUUUUUUUUUUAAAUAGAUUUAUUUAUUUUAUGUAUGUGAGUACGCUGUCCCUGUCUUCAGACACACCAGGAGAGGAUAUUGAAUACCAUUUCAGAUGGUUGUGAGCCACCAUGUGGUUGCUGGGAAUUGAACUCAGGACCUCUGGAAGAGCAGUCAGUGCUCUUAACCACCGAGCCAUCUCUCCAGCCCUUCUGAUUCUUUUCUAGUUUUAAUUAAAAUUAAGUAGUACAUUGAAGGCAAGGUUUGGUUUUAAGAACUAAUUCUUUACAAGAGCCAUAUAGGUUCUCCUUCUAUGAACCCUUUAAGCAUCUCUGUUGGAUGCCUCGGGUUUGAACAAUAGCUCCUUCACCAUUUAUCCCUGAACUUGUGGGGUUGGACGGGGUACAGUCACAAUUAGUAACAAAGGUGGAAACUGAUGCGGCUGUUCUAGAGUCAGUCUAUCUCCCUGUGCGCUUCCUCAACUGCUCAGUUAGUGCUUGUGCUGUGAAUGCCUACAAAAUGCUUUCAGAUGGAAGAGUGAGUCCACGAUAAACUUGGUCCAAUAAAAAUGAGAAUAUGUUCAUUUGUUUCCUUUCCUUCAAGGAUGUUAGUGUUUCCCCCAGUUUUUCUGAGUAAUAUGGUCGAAGGAAAGUUCUCCCCAGUUAGAUGUUGACCUCAAAUGCAAAUGAACUACAUUUCAUUAUAUCUCUCUGAAUAUAAAUUUAACUUGCUUUACUCUUUAACAUGUUAAAGCAUUAAUUUAUACUUUAUAGUUAUUGGUACCAUAACAGUGCUAUUCGUGGUUGGAUAUAGCUAUCAUUUCAUGCAAGUUUGUAUACAUAAAAUAUACUUGCCUCCAGACAUGAAUAUAGGUUUUGGCAAAAUGAAAGAAAAUCUCUCUGAGAUAAUUUUGAAAUCCUUGUUUCAUUUAUGAGCUAGUUGUUGGCAUAAUGGACAGAUGAUCUGAGAUGUUGAAAAAUUAGACAUGUCCAGUAAGAUUCUCACAGUUGAAGACAGUUAUAGGAUGCAUAGCUAAGUUUAAAGCUGGUGUAAGAUCUUAGUGACAGUUUGUCUUCUAUUAUGGAUUCUUUGUAAUAAAUUUGCCAUCACUAAAGUACUGGAUAUUAUUGUGUGAAAAAUGUAGCGAACAAUGACACCGUUUACUUCAGGAGCCUGUGAAAUGGCACAGUAGAUAAAACAGUUGCUGUGCCAGCCUGAUAGUCUGAUCUCUGCUCUGGAACCGCAGCAGCAGGAGAGAGCCAGGCUCCGAAGUCCUCCAGCCUCCACGUGUGGCACAGCAGCCAUACUCAUAGAUAAAUGAAUUUUAGCUGGGUGUAUAUCUUUUAAUCCCAGCACUAGGAAGAUAGGGGCAGACAUUUCUGAAGGUUCCAUGUUGAGUCCCAGGCUAGCGUGGGCUACAUAAAGACCCUGUCAUUUCCUCUCUCCUGCCUCCCCCGCC
rnacentral:lncRNA from 1 species